rnacentral:lncRNA from 1 species
GGAGGGAGGAGGAGGGAGGCGGCGAGGAGCCGACGGCUCCACCUGAUGGAGAAGCGCGGAGAGUCCCUAGACCUCGGAGUGCGCUGCAAGAGGGGAGAGGAGAGAGACCGCCGCCCCUGCUGGAAGCCUUCGCGUCCGGGGGCGGCGCGCGGGGGAAGGGGUCUCUGGACAGUCGGUGGAGGCGGCAGCCCUACAGAGACAGCCGAAAGCCAGCAACUUGGAAAACCGCCCGAAUUCUGGGUUUCUGCACAUCCAGGCUGGCUCCAGGUCUCUUGUGCCCACCGUGCAAGCCGGCGGGAUGCCAGCAGGUGGCAUCCUCUCCAGCGUUUCUUCGCCAGGCGUGGAGUCCGGAGGCCGAAUCCAUCAGUCCCCAGCCCCCUCCCCAAGCCUCCGGUGCCAAGUGCUGGGUCCUGUGAGCCCCUGGCCCGCCCCCCACCUCCGCCAGCGGGGCGAGCCGGAGCUGGGUGACCCAGACCCUCGCGGAGGCGGGAGCCUACAGAGGAUGCCGGCCGGCCCCAGGUUCUGCUGCUGGCUGGCCAAGAAGUGACAGGAGGGCAAGGCUCCCCCGGAAAGCGUCCAAGCCCUGCUCUCCUGCUCUUCCAAGCCUUGCUGCGUGUUGCCCCCAGGGUUUUCUGAGAUCUGGGACGAAGAGAGUGAUGUGCAAGGUUCUGGGUCCCGGUGCAGGAGUGAGGGGUACGGCUGUCGAGUGCUCGGAGCAGGCUGGCGUUUGGGCACACUGCAGACCUCAGCUCACCGCCACUUUCUCCUGACCUUCCUCGUGGCUGUCAGCCCAAUGUCUAUCAUGUGUUAUUCCCUCGGUUUGUUCAAAGGCC